AUUGAACGCUGGCGGUAUGCUUAACACAUGCAAGUCGAACGGUAGCAGGCCUUCGGGCGCUGACGAGUGGCGGACGGGUGAGUAACGCGUAGGAAUCUACCUAUCGGUGGGGGAUAGCCCGGAGAAAUUCGGAUUAAUACCGCAUACGCCCUGAGGGGGAAAGCGGGGGACCGAAAGGCCUCGCGUCGAUAGAUGAGCCUGCGUUAGAUUAGCUAGUUGGUAGGGUAAAGGCCUACCAAGGCGACGAUCUAUAGCUGUUCUGAGAGGAUGGACAGCCACACUGGGACUGAGACACGGCCCAGACUCCUACGGGUGGCAGCAGUAGGGAAUAUUGCGCAAUGGGCGAAAGCCUGACGCAGCCAUGCCGCGUGGAUGAUGAAGGCCCUGGUCGUAAGU
rnacentral:rRNA from 1 species